AGACCCGAAACCCGGUGAUCUAGCCAUGGGCAGGUUGAAGGUUGGGUAACACUAACUGGAGGACCGAACCGACUAAUGUUGAAAAAUUAGCGGAUGACCUGUGGCUGGGGGUGAAAGGCCAAUCAAACCGGGAGAUAGCUGGUUCUCCCCGAAAGCUAUUUAGGUAGCGCCUCGUGAAUUCAUCUCCGGGGGUAGAGCACUGUUUCGGCUAGGGGGCCAUCCCGGCUUACCAACCCGAUGCAAACUGCGAAUACCGGAGAAUGUUAUCACGGGAGACACACGGCGGGUGCUAACGUCCGUCGUGAAGAGGGAAACAACCCAGACCGCCAGCUAAGGUCCCAAAGUCAUGGUUAAGUGGGAAACGAUGUGGGAAGGCCCAGACAGCCAGGAUGUUGGCUUAGAAGCAGCCAUCAUUUAAAGAAAGCGUAAUAGCUCACUGGUCGAGUCGGCCUGCGCGGAAGAUGUAACGGGGCUAAACCAUGCACCGAAGCUGCGGCAGCGACGCUGAUGCGUUGUUGGGUAGGGGAGCGUUCUGUAAGCCUGCGAAGGUGGCCUGUGAGGGUUGCUGGAGGUAUCAGAAGUGCGA
rnacentral:rRNA from 1 species